rnacentral:rRNA from 1 species
CCUACGGGAGACUGCAGUAGGGAAUUUUCGGCAAUGGGGGGAACCCUGACCGAGCAACGCCGCGUGAACGAAGAAGUUCUUCGUAAUGUAAAGUUCUUUUAACAGGGAAGAAAGAUAAAUUUGACGGUAACUGAUGAAUAAGCUCCGGCUAACUACGUGCCACCAGCCGCGGUAAUACGUAGGGAGCGAGCGUUAUCCGGAAUUAUUGGGCGUAAGGGGUGCGUAGAUGGCAUAGUAAGUCUUUGGUAAAAAUGCUGGGCUCAACCCAGUAGGGCAAAAGAUACUGCAAAGCUGGAGUAUGACAGAGGCAAGUGGAACUACAGGUGUAGCGGUAAAAUGCGUAAAUAUAUGUAAGAACACCAGUGGCGAAGGCGGCUUGCUGGGUCGAUACUGACAUUGAGGCACGAAAGCGUGGGGAGCAAACAGGAUUAGAUACCCGGGUAGUC